rnacentral:lncRNA from 1 species
UGUGUGUGUGUGUGUGUGUGUGUGUGUGUGUGUGUGUGUGUGUGUGUGUGUGUGUGUGUGAAUUAAAGAGUCUGUCUAGCUCAGUAGUCUGCAUAUUAGUUGCAGUAGUUGGCGCACCUCUCCUAUCUCUGAUUGUUCUAGGUGUCUUUUGCCAGAGGUUACCUCAGCAUAUGUAGGCUGAUGAUCUGAAUGAUACAUGGUGUGGACUGCAUCAUGUGGUGUACUUCUCUGAAGGACAGUGUUCUGUCCGACACUGGAGUAGUGAUCAGAGCUGUGUUGUGAUGGGCCAGGUCCAGUAGAGCUGUGUUGUGAUGGGCCAGGUCUAGUAGAGCUGUGUUGUGAUGGGCCAGGUCCAGUAGAGCUGUGUUGUGAUGGGCCAGGUCCAGUAGAGCUGUGUUGUGAUGGGCCAGGUCUAGUAGAGCUGUGUUGUGAUGGGCCAGGUCCAGUAGAGCUGUGUUGUGAUGGGCCAGGUCCAGUAGAGCUGUGUUGUGAUGGGCCAGGUCCAGUAGAGCUGUGUUGUGAUGGGCCUGGUCUAGUAGAGCUGUGUUGUGAUGGGCCUGGUCUAGUAGAGCUGUGUUGUGAUGGGCCGGGUCUAGUAGAGCUGUGUUGUGAUGGGCCGGGUCUAGUAGAGCUGUGUUGUGAUGGGCCGGGUCUAGUAGAGCUGUGUUGUGAUGGGCCAGGUCUAGUAGAGCUGUGUUGUGAUGGGCCUGGUCUAGUAGAG